GACCUCGUAGCUCAGUGGAUAGAGCGUCCGCCUCCUAAGCGGAAGGUCCCGGGUUCGACCCCCGGCUGGGUUG
rfam:Basidiobolus meristosporus CBS 931.73 K493scaffold_111, whole genome shotgun sequence.